rnacentral:rRNA from 1 species
AGUGAACGCUGGCGGCAGGCCUAACACAUGCAAGUCGAACGGCAGCACAGUGAGUGCUGGCGCUUACGGGUGUCGAGUGGCGGAAGGUGCCGGAAGAUAUGGGAUUCUACUUUGUCGGGGGUGCUAACGCAGGGUAACGUACUCUAAUCCCGCAUACGACGUACGUGGGUGAGCAUGGGAUCUUCUGACCUGGUGCGAGGGAAUGAGCCUAUGUCGGAUUAGCUCGUUGGCGGGUUAAAGACGCACCAAGGCGACGAUGGGUAGAUGGUAUGAGAGGAGGAUAAGCAACACUGGAACUGGGACACGGUCCACAAUCCUACGGGAGGCAGCAGUGGGGAAUAUUGGAGAAUGGGAGCAAGCCUGAUCAAGCAAUACCGCGUGAGUGAAGAAGGCAUUCGGGUUGUAAAGCCCUUUAAGUGGGAAGGAAAAGAAGCAGGUUAAUACCGCGAUGUUAUGACGGUAACCAAAGAAUAAGCACCGGCUAACUUCGUG